GAAAUGCGAUAAGUAAUGUGAAUUGCAGAAUUCAGUGAAUCAUCGAAUCUUUGAACGCACAUUGCGCCCGCCAGUAUUCUGGCGGGCAUGCCUGUUCGAGCGUCAUUUCAACCAUCAAGCCCCCGGCUUGUGUUGGGGACCUGUGGCUGCCCGCAGGCCCUGAAAAACAGUGGCGGGCUCGCUGUCACACCGAGCGUAGUAGCAUACAUUCUCGCUCAGGGCGUGCUGCGGGUUCCGGCCGUUAAACGACCUUCAUAACCCAAGGUUGACCUCGGAUCAGGUAGGAAGACCCGCUGAACUUAAGC
rnacentral:misc_RNA from 1 species